rnacentral:misc_RNA from 1 species
AUGGAUUCUCUUUCUCCACUCCACUCUAAACGGUAACAAUAUAUAUUAUAUGAUGAAUUUAUGUUCAUUUUCUCAUUUCCUCGGUUUUCCCAGCAUGCGACCAGAAAGGCAAAGAGUAAAGUUCCAAGUAUCGAAUACUCUAAAUGAACACGAGUCUAGCACAGGAUCAUCUACGCAGGAGGAGAGAAAAAGGGGACAUCCUGGAUCAAGAUGAAUCACUCAAUAUGAAAAUGGCCGAAUAUUAGAAAAGAAAUUACAGAAACAAUUCACACAAGAACAGCCAUUCAAUCACAGCAUCAAUACGCAAAUAAGGAAAAAUUCAGAGAGUAUAGAAGCUUUUGAGACACGCAAUACUAACAAGCCAUUAAUCAAUAAAGAAAAAACAUUCAAAAAAAUUGGAUAUCUAAACAAUCUAGAAAAAAACGGUAUCUAAACAUUACUAUGUAGAAGGAGAGACAGAGAAAGAGGGAGAGAUUU